rnacentral:rRNA from 1 species
CGGUGUUUAACUGGCGUGAUGUGGGACGUCCUACCGGUGGGCUUAGCCUCGCGAGGGGCGGCCCAACUAAUAUCCCGUCGCGGUGCUCUUUACUGAGUGUCGAGUCGGGCCGGUACGUUUACUUUGAACAAAUUAGAGUGCUUAAAGCAGGCUAUCCUCGCCUGAAUACUGCGUGCAUGGAAUAAUGGAAUAGGACCUCGGUUCUAUUUUGUUGGUUUUCGGAACCCCGAGGUAAUGAUUAAUAGGGACAGAUGGGGGCAUUCGUAUUGCGACGUUAGAGGUGAAAUUCUUGGAUCGUCGCAAGACGGACAGAAGCGAAAGCAUUUGCCAAAAAUGUUUUCGUUAAUCAAGAACGAAAGUUAGAGGUUCGAAGGCGAUCAGAUACCGCCCUAGUUCUAACCAUAAACGAUGCCAGCUAGCGAUCCGCCGAAGUUCCUCCGAUGACUCGGCGGGCAGCUUCCGGGAAACCAAAGCUUUUGGGUUCCGGGGGAAGUAUGGUUGCAAAGCUGAAACUUAAAGGAAUUGACGGAAGGGCACCACCAGGAGUGGAGCCUGCGGCUUAAUUUGACUCAACACGGGAAACCUCACCAGGCCCAGACACCGGAAGGAUUGACAGAUUGAUAGCUCUUUCUUGAUUCGGUGGGUGGUGGUGCAUGGCCGUUCUUAGUUGGUGGAGCGAUUUGUCUGGUUAAUUCCGAUAACGAACGAGACUCUAGCCUGCUAAAUAGGCGUACCUUAUGGUAUCGCGAAGGCCCCCGGCUUCGGCCGGUGGGUUUUUACUACCAACGUACAAACAAAUCUUCUUAGAGGGACAGGCGG